rfam:Solenopsis invicta Si_gnG.contig02714, whole genome shotgun sequence.
CAAAUGGCCCUUUUCAGGGCCACCAAAUUUAUAACGCGGGAAUAAU